GAUGAACGCUGGCGGCGUGCCUAACACAUGCAAGUCGAACGAUGAAACCGCCCUCGGGCGGACAUGAAGUGGCGAACGGGUGAGUAACACGUGACCAACCUGCCCCUUGCUCCGGGACAACCUUGGGAAACCGAGGCUAAUACCGGAUACUCCUCGCCCCCCUCCUGGGGGGCCCGGGAAAGCCCAGACGACAAGGGAUGGGGUCGCGGCCCAUUAGGUAGUAGGCGGGGUAACGGCCCACCUAGCCCGCGAUGGGUAGCCGGGUUGAGAGACCGACCGGCCACAUUGGGACUGAGAUACGGCCCAGACUCCUACGGGAGGCAGCAGUGGGGAAUUUUGCGCAAUGGGGGAAACCCUGACGCAGCAACGCCGCGUGCGGGACGACGGCCUUCGGGUUGUAAACCGCUUUCAGCAGGGAAGAAAUUCGACGGUAC
rnacentral:rRNA from 1 species